ACACAUGGCGUAUAAUUCAAUGGAUGAUGAUGGAAUCUAGGACAAUCUUUGGACAUGGAGAUGGGGUAAUUAUGUAUUGUUCCAAUUGUUUUUUUUUCUUACUUUUAUUGCUAUGUAUUCUUUUUUCUUUUCAGGUACAAAAUAUAAACAAAAAAACAACCAACAAAAUUAAAUCCACCGAGAUUGGGCUGGAGGAGUGGUGCCUUCAACUACAUUUUAUUAGCCCAAUCUCAUAAUAACAAAUCCACCGGGAGUGGGCAGGAGUGGUGGCACCAUACGCAAUUAGUAGCCCCUCCCUAUUACCAAAAAAAAUAAAUAAAUCCACCGAGAUUGAGCUGGAGGAGUGGUGGCUCCAACUGCAAUUAGUUGCUCAAUCUCAAUUGCGAAAGAAAUCCACCGGGAGUGGGCAGGAGUGGUGGCUCCAUACGCAAUUAGUAGCCCCUCCCUAUUUAAAAUACUAAUUUUGGUAAAAAAGAGGUUUUAGGAGUAGACGACCUCUUCCCAAACAGUGAUUUGCCCGUCCCCCCACGCAAAAAUUUUUUUUGAGUCAGAGGCGUGUUUUAGGGGGUUUUUUGGAGCCAGUGGCGCAGCCAGGAGGCUUAAGGCCCUCUUACACGCAACAAAACUCCGAUGUCUAACAACACAGUUGAAGAGAGCGGUGUGCGGAAUCAUCACAACAUUACCUACUGGAAAUACCUCUACACUCUUCGUUACCUCUUCGAGUUUUCUUUCCUAUUAUACCUGGUCACAGUCUUCGAAAGACUUUCAUAAAGAAGGUAUUCGAGACAUUUCUUAUCCUUUUCCAGGAAAUCAUUUUACGGGAAGUAGCAUAAACAUACAAAUAAUAAUUAUUUUUCCAAAAACUCCAUUCUUCACGGUAAUGAUAUUUUCCAAUUAAUUGACGUCCCAGUGAACAAUGACAAUAUCAAGUUAAUUAUAAAUUUUGUAAAACAUUCUAAUCUUUAUAAUU